rnacentral:misc_RNA from 1 species
AACUUUUAGCAAUGGAUCCCUUGGUUCUGGCAUCGAUGAAGAACGCAGCGAAAUGCGAUAAGUAGUGUGAAUUGCAGAAUUCAGUGAAUCAUCGAAUCUUUGAACGCACAUUGCGCCCCUUGGUAUUCCAUGGGGCAUGCCUGUUCGAGCGUCAUUUGUACCCUCAAGCUCUGCUUGGUGUUGGGUGUUUGUCCCGCUUUUCGCGUGGACUCGCCUUAAAACAAUUGGCAGCCGGCAUAUUGGCCUGGAGCGCAGCACAUUUUGCGCCUCUUGUCAUGAUUGUUGGCAUCCAUCAAGACUAUUUUUUACUCUUGACCUCGGAUCAGGUAGGGAUACCCGCUGAACUUAAGCAUAUCAAUAAGCGGAGGCU